ACUCAAAGGAAUUGACGGGGGCCCGCACAAGCGGUGGAGUAUGUGGUUUAAUUCGACGCAACGCGCAGAACCUUACCUGGUCUUGACAUCGCGAGAUCGCUGCAGAGAUGUAGCUUUACCUUCGGGUACUCGUAGACAGGUGCUGCAUGGCUGUCGUCAGCUCGUGUUGUGAAAUGUUCGGUUAAGUCCGGCAACGAGCGCAACCCCUGUCCUUAGUUACCAUCAUUAAGUUGGGGACUCUAGGGAGACUGCCGGUGUUAAACCGGAGGAAGGCGGGGAUGACGUCAAGUCCUCAUGGCCCUUACGACCAGGGCUACACACGUACUACAAUGGCGAAAACAAACCGCUGCAAACUAGUGAUAGUAAGCUAAUCGGAAAAACAUCGUCUCAGUCCGGAUUGAAGUCUGCAACUCGACUUCAUGAAGUUGGAAUCGCUAGUAAUCGCAGAUCAGCACGCUGCGGUGAAUACGUUCCCGGGCCUUGUACACACCGCCCGU
rnacentral:rRNA from 1 species